GAAAAUUGAAAACUGCAAAUUUAUGUCUAAUCAAGCAGAAAUGUUGGACUAUGCUAACCAAAAGACAAGACGCCGCCGUUAACUUUGGUGAAUUAUAGAUGACUUUUAAGCAGAAUUAAUACAAUCUCAAACUCAAAAAUAUCUCCCUAAGUGGUUAGGCGAGCGCUUCUUUGAAUACUCGGCGAAAAAGGUAUGAAGGGGAAUUUUGCUGUUGGUAGGCGCUCUUGUCAGAGAAGACUAGCAGCAACAACAAAACAAUAUGGGUUUGAGGACCUAAGCCUGACUAUAUAGAAUGUCGUGGAAA